rnacentral:lncRNA from 1 species
GGAGACGGUCACAGAAAGGGAGACCUGAAGACAGUUUGCUACCCCAGGCCGCAGCCCUUAGGGGCUGCUGGGUAGCUAUGGACUUGUACCUAAGCAACUGUUUAAAGGCUGCUGAAGCUGCUGCCUCUAAAGCGGCUUCCGGCAACCUAACAAACAACAAAGACACAUGUAGUUCUAAAAAACAGAAACCUAUCAUUCCAAAGAUUGGACCAGCUAGUCUAUUAGAUUUGCCUCUUGGGGCCAAACUGCCUAUUAUCCCAGGAAGUACUAAUAUAUUCUACACAACAAAUAUAAGUGAAAAGCUUUACCAGCCUUCUUUCGAUUUUAACCUUAAUGACCCAUAUUGUAAACUCAUGGAAACCACCUACAAAAGUCUUCAUGAUCCACACUUAAAAUCAUACUUCAAACGAAAAGACAUUCUCAAGAAACUAAGAAAGGGAGGAUACAUCACCGGCAAUAAUAAAGUUGUAUGUUCAUUAAAAGAGCUCAACAAAUACAGACAAUAUCUUACCACUUUAAAAAUUGACUUUGAACGAAAUUAUAUAAGAGAACAAAAAAUAAUAGAAAAUCAAGUAAACAAACUGAACGAAGAGAGACGGGCCUGUGACAACGCUGCUGCUGCUGAGUUUCAGCAGUGGUUGUUACAAGAAGGGAAAAAAGCCAGCCCUCAUCACAACCACUUAAUUAAACUCAGACAUUUAAAUAUGAUUAAUAAAGAACUAGACAAAAUUGAGGACACCUUGGAAAGACGAAGUACAGUACAGAUGAAGGAAGAAGACAGACAACAUUGGGAUGAGGUUAGAAAAAAACUGAGUCUACGUCAACAAAUUGAAGAGGAAUGGCAAUUCAAGGAGAUGUCACUUCUGACAAAGAUCGGAGAUGAAGUAAGGAGAGAAACAAAGGUUGAAGAACAUCACCGGAAAAUCAGAGAGGAAAUUAACCGAAAGAAACAAGCAAUGCUUCAGAAAAGAAUUGCCUACCAUUUACAAAGACUUCAAAGGAAAGAUAGUAUAGAAGAAAAGCAGGAAGCAAGUGUCCCUGAAACUAGAAGACAAACUGAAACAGCUUCUUCAACAACUCAAAAGCAGCCAAGUCUCACAGAGGAGAAGAAAUAUGAAGAACAUCUGGAACAAAAACCAUCUACAUCAAGUAUACUGACAAGCACCUCUGAGAGACUGAUGCAAGAAUUGAGGGAAUCAAAAUCUUCAUCACAAAUGACAAGAAUCAGUUUUGAUGAGGACAGAUCUUCAAUUUACGAACUAUUGGAAACAAGAUCAGAUACAAGGAGAUCGAGUUUGCCUGAGGAUCAUACAUAUCAAGAAGAUUUGGAACCUAAAUAUUAUCACCAUCCCAGUGGGAAGAAAACAAGUUUCGCUGAGGAGGCAUUGUUUUAUGAACAUAAUGAACAAAGAUACGGUCCAUCAACCAGCAAAAGAACGAGUUUUGUUAAUGAGAAAUUCAUAGAAGAACUUCUAGAAGCAAAAUAUCUUUAUCAAAAUACUAAAAGAACAAGUUUCACCGACCAGAAACUGAUGGACGACAAUCUAGAACCAACAUCAUCGCCAAGUAUAAAGAAAACAAGUUUUGCUGAGGAGAAAUCAUUUCAACAACUUAUGGAAGCAAUAACACCUCCACAGUACAUAAAGAAAACAAGUUUCGCUGACCAGAAAUCAUCUCAAGAAUCUCUGGAAUCCAAACUAUGAUAAAGGAACAACACAUCAUUCAUAUAACAGAGGCAUCAAAAGAAUCCCAAAUCCUGCUCCAUCUCACUCUCUGCAAUCAACAGUACUUUCCAGACAAUCACAUGAUAUUCCAACACAAGCGAUAGAUCCUUCUUUACAACAAAACACACAUAAACAGAGCAAGUGAUUUACGGAAUGAUGGCCAAGAUUAAUGUAAAAAUUUCAUUGAUUAAAUGACAAUUUU